UCAAACCGGAGGAAGGUGGGGAUGACGUCAAGUCCUCAUGGCCCUUAUGACCAGGGCUACACACGUGCUACAAUGGCCGGUACAAAGAGUUGCGAUACCGCGAGGUGGAGCUAAUCUCAUAAAGCCGGUCUCAGUUCGGAUUGGAGUCUGCAACUCGACUCCAUGAAGUUGGAAUCGCUAGUAAUCGCGGAUCAGCACGCCCGCGGUCGAAUACGUUCCCGGGCCUU
rnacentral:rRNA from 1 species